UAUAGUCAAGCUUGAAUUUAACUUAAAGUUGGGCAAUGCAAAAGAUUUUGGGCGAAAUUUCUAACUACUUGAUUUCUGACUGCUUGAAAGAAAUUCCAAAAAGUAACCCUUUAAUCUUGAUCCUCUUUAUAUUUAGACCCCCAGAGAGUCAGACCAUUGAAAAAAUUUUAACCUGGAGUUUGCCAGGUAAAUAUGCCUUCACAAGUUGAGAAGGUUAGCUAAGGUGGGAAUCCUACUUUGGUAAAUAUUAUGGCUUGAACAUUUUGCAUGUUGAUGUCGGCUUACAGACUAAUCUCAACCCAGAGCCUGGAAAGUACAUGUGUGUGUGCACAGGAGUGAUAUUUCAGUGUGUUAACUAUAUUGUAUGACACUAUUCUACUGGUGAGAACACAGGGUUAUUAGCGGAUCAUGGGUCACCUAGACCACGUGGACGCACUUUGCUGCUUGACCACAUUGAUAAUCUUUGCCAAUUGCCUUGCUAGUGAAUUAUCUCCUUUUUUUAAGUUUACUUAUUUAUUUUGAAAGAGCCAGAGAGUGAGAGCAGGGGAGGGGCAGAGAGAGAGAGAGGGAGACAGAUAAUCCCAAAUAGGCUCCACACUGUCAGUGCAGUGCCCGACUUGGGGCUCAAACUCAUGAACUUCGAGAUCAUGACCUGAACUGAAAUCAAGAGUCGGACGCUUAACCGACUGAACCACUCAGUUGCCCCAUUAAUGAAUUCUUUUGAUCACUGAGGGAAUUGAACAGAGACUGUUAAUGGUUGGGGAAAAUAUACUUUAAAAUGAAUAUUUUGUAAGUAAAAAAUGAAUCCAUUUUCAGGGUGAAAUGAGGGAAAGGGAACUGUACACAUAGGGAACAGCAUGUGCAAGACACAGGUUCAUUUGGGAACUCUAGUAGCUUGUUAGAGUUUGAAUACAUUGAGUAAGAAGGCUCUGGGAAAAAAGGCUCCUGAGAAAGGAAGGACCCUUGAGAAAGGAAGAGGCUGGAUAUGGAAGAGCUUGGGCUUAUCUUAGGGUGUCACUUUGUGGAGAAAGGGGAUUCAGGAUUUGAAUCAUCAUUGUCUUGCAGGGGCCAAAGGUAUGCUUUGGAAAAGAUCAUUCUGGCUGCGUUAUGGGGAAGUCUACUGAGACAACUCGAAAGAAUUCUCAUGUGGUCUACACAAAUAUGGUUAAAAACAACAGCCUUCUUAAAAGCUGAAUAA
rnacentral:lncRNA from 1 species